rnacentral:rRNA from 1 species
CACCGCGGUUAUACGAGAGGCCCAAGUUGAUCAUUUACGGCGUAAAGGGUGGUUAGGGAAGAAUAAACACUAAAGCCGAAUGUUUCCAAAACUGUUAUACGUACCCGGACACUAGAAGUUCAACCACGAAAGUGGCUUUAUUAAACCCUGAAUCCACGAAAGCUAGGGAA